AGUGGAACUGAUGGGUCAUAUGGUUACUUUUUGUUUAACCUUUUGAAUAAUUACCAGACUGUUUUCCAAAGUGGCUGCCCCAUUAUACAUCCUUACCAGCAGU
rnacentral:pre_miRNA from 1 species